CCUACGGGGGGCAGCAGUGAGGAAUAUUGGUCAAUGGGCGCGAGCCUGAACCAGCCAAGUCGCGUGAGGGAGGACGGCCCUACGGGUUGUAAACCUCUUUUGCCGGGGAGCAACGGGCGCCACGUGUGGCGUCACUGAGAGUCCCCGGAGAAAAAGCAUCGGCUAACUCCGUGCCAGCAGCCGCGGUAAUACGGAGGAUGCGAGCGUUAUCCGGAUUUAUUGGGUUUAAAGGGUGCGUAGGCGGAUCGUUAAGUCAGUGGUCAAAUUGAGGGGCUCAACCCCUUCCCGCCAUUGAAACUGGCGUUCUUGAGUGGAAGAGAGGUAUGCAGAAUGCGUGGUGUAGCGGUGAAAUGCGUAGAUAUCACGCAGAACCCCGAUGGCGAAGGCAGCAUGCCGGCUUCCGACUGACGCUGAGGCACGAAAGCGUGGGGAUCGAACAGGAUUAGAUACCCUGGUAGUC
rnacentral:rRNA from 1 species